AGUGUAGUUGACGACUGGAUGAAUGAGCUGUGACAGACAGGAGACCACUUUCAACAAUCUGGCUGUGGAAGGGGACAGCAAUAGGUCAGGAUGGGGGUCAAGGAGCAGUGUCAGAUCCAGAAAAGUCUCGCUUCGAUGGGGAAACAGAGUUGAGCUUGUUUUCGAAUACAGACAUGGUAACAAAAGGAUGAAAAAUGUAAAGGAGGUAUUGAUGAAGUGAGACAAGGGUGGAAGUGAAAACAUUGCAAAUUCCCAAAGAAGAUUUAAAAUGGUUACAAGUUGUUUUAUUUGGGGAUCUUAAUUAAGGACUGUAGCCUGGGAGAGAGCCUCUCAGAUAGCUCUGAAGAACUACUCUGAAGAGGUAAUUAACACAACGUUGCUACAAUACCUGGAUCAUACUAUCCAUGGGGACUUUAUUUUCUUAGGCUCCAAAAUCUCUGCAGACGGUGACUGCAGCCAUGAAAUUAAAAGACACUUGCUACUUGGAAGAAAAGCUAUGACCAACCUAGACAGCAUAUUAAAAAGCAGAGACAUUACUUUGUCAGCAAAGGUCUUUCAAGUCAAAGCUAUGGCUUUUCCAGUAGUUGUGUAUGGACGUGAGAGUUGGAUUAUAAAGAAAGCUGAGUGCCAAAGAAUUGAUGCUUUUGAACUGUGGUGUUGGAGAAGACUCUCAAGAGUCCUUGGACUGCAAGGAGAUCCAACCAGUCCAUCCUAAAGGAAAUCAGUCCUGAAUAUUCAUUGGAAGGACUGAUGCUGAAGCUGAAGCUCCAGUACUUUGGCCACCUGAUGCGAAGAACUGACUCCUUAGAAAAGACCCUGAUGCUGAGAAAGACUGAAGGCGGGAGGAGAAGGGGACAACAGAGGAUGAGAUGGUUGGAUGGCAUCACUGACUCGAUGGGCAGGAGUUUGAGCAAGCUCCAGCUGUUGGUGAUGGACAGGGAGGCCUGGCAUGCUGCAGUCCGUGGGGUCGCAAAGAGUUGGACAUGACUGAGCAGCUGAACUGACAAUACCUGGAUCACCUUUGAGCUGGGGCUUGGUGCCUUCGUCCUGAAAGUCAGAGAUGUAAGAAAGGGCCACAUGAGAGAAGUGAGUCCUCAAUGAUGUUUUGUGAGCUUUCUGCGAAGUAUAAAACUAGAAAAGGCAAAAAUCAAACUUUUAAUCUGUUUAGGGUCUACCUUGAAUAUCCCCUUUCUGACCAAAUUUCUUGGAAAGACAUAGAAGUAGAAAAAUUAAAAUUUACAAACACACCACCCAGAUAAUAGAGGAGAUUGACUGAUAUAUGACAAGCAGAAUAUGUGAGGAAAAAAAAAAAAACCUAAAGUGAUGAAUGGCACAAAGCCGAGAAGCCUAAGCAGCAACCUGGUUAGUUUUUCAAGAUGAUACGUCUUCCCAAUCUCCCAAUUCAUCCUUCUGUGCUCCCCUACCCUCUACCUACACGUCCUGCUUUACACUUGUGUCUCUGUUCCUGCUCUGAAAAUAGGUUCAUCCGUACAUUUUUCUGGAGUCCACAUAUAUGCGUGAAUAAAUAUUUAUCUCUUUCUGACUUAGUUCACUCUGCAUGAUAGAAUCUAGGCCCACCCAUAUUUCUACAAAUGACCCAGUUUCGUUCCUUUUAAUGGUUGGGUAAUGUUCCAUUUUGUAUAUGUGCCACAUCUUCUUUAUCCAUUCCUCUGUUGGAAUUUAGGUUGCUCCCAUG